AAAGAGUUGAAAGACUCCCAAAACCCAUUGCGAAUAUACCUGUAUCGUUGCUUCGGCGGGCGGCCCCAGGGCGGGGCCUGCGCCCCGACCUCUUCGGAGCGAGGUGCCCGCCGACGGCCCUUAUAAACUCUUGUUAUCUGUAGGCAUUCUGAGCGACGAAGAUGGAAACGAGUUA
rnacentral:misc_RNA from 1 species